AUAAUGGGUCAGCGACUUAUAUUCUGUAGCAAGGUUAACCGUAUAGGGGAGCCGGAGGGAAACCGAGUCUUAACCGGGCGUUAAGUUGCAGGGUAUAGACCCGAAACCCGGUGAUCUAGCCAUGGGCAGGUUGAAGGUUGGGUAACACUAACUGGAGGACCGAACCGACUAAUGUUGAAAAAUUAGCGGAUGACCUGUGGCUGGGGGUGAAAGGCCAAUCAAACCGGGAGAUAGCUGGUUCUCCCCGAAAGCUAUUUAGGUAGCGCCUCGUGAAUUCAUCUCCGGGGGUAGAGCACUGUUUCGGCUAGGGGGCCAUCCCGGCUUACCAACCCGAUGCAAACUGCGAAUACCGGAGAAUGUUAUCACGGGAGACACACGGCGGGUGCUAACGUCCGUCGUGAAGAGGGAAACAACCCAGACCGCCAGCUAAGGUCCCAAAGUCAUGGUUAAGUGGGAAACGAUGUGGGAAGGCCCAGACAGCCAGGAUGUUGGCUUAGAAGCAGCCAUCAUUUAAAGAAAGCGUAAUAGCUCACUGGUCGAGUCGGCCUGCGCGGAAGAUGUAACGGGGCUAAACCAUGCACCGAAGCUGCGGCAGCGACGCUGAUGCGUUGUUGGGUAGGGGAGCGUUCUGUAAGCCUGCGAAGGUGGCCUGUGAGGGUUGCUGGAGGUAUCAGAAGUGCGAAUGCUGACAUAAGUAACGAUAAAGCGGGUGAAAAGCCCGCUCGCCGGAAGACCAAGGGUUCCUGUCCAACGUUAAUCGGGGCAGGGUGAGUCGACCCCUAAGGCGAGGCCGAAAGGCGUAGUCGAUGGGAAACGGGUUAAUAUUCCCGUACUUGGUGUUACUGCGAAGGGGGGACGGAGAAGGCUAUGUUGGCCGGGCGACGGUUGUCCCGGUUUAAGCGUGUAGGUGUGUGUUCCAGGUAAAUCCGGUUCACUUUAACACUGAGGCGUGAUGACGAGGCACUACGGUGCUGAAGCAACAAAUGCCCUGCUUCCAGGAAAAGCCUCUAAGCAUCAGGUAACAUCAAAUCGUACCCCAAACCGACACAGGUGGUCAGGUAGAGAAUACCAAGGCGCUUGAGAGAACUCGGGUGAAGGAACUAGGCAAAAUGGUGCCGUAACUUCGGGAGAAGGCACGCUGACACGUAGGUGAAGUGAUUUACUCAUGGAGCUGAAGUCAGUCGAAGAUACCAGCUGGCUGCAACUGUUUAUUAAAAA
rnacentral:rRNA from 1 species